rnacentral:lncRNA from 1 species
CUCAGGGCAGCAGUUCUGGUGAAGGGGUAAGGAGAAUCCCCAGAAAGCUUCAUGGUCACACCACGUCUGGGAUGCUCAGCAGCUGCCCUGGCUGGGAUCUAACAACGAGAAGCCAGCAGACCUCACAGGGCUAUUCCAAGACUGAAACUGAAGGGAAUCUAAGUUCAGCAAAACAAUUGGAACAGGAUGUGCAUCUUGAAGAGGCCGAGGGGAUGAAUAUACUAAAUAUGCCACGCUGUCUGCACCGUGCCAGCUGAACAACAGUGAUAAUUGUGAGACUGCUAAACCGUACUUUCCCAGCAGGUCAGGCUGUAACUUGAUCUGACCGCUUUUGCACGGUGACAAACUGAGAGGAGGCAAGUACCCUUCCUCAUGCCAUCCAGACUUUUCUGUGAUUUGCCCAUUUUUAUAAAUACGCCACAUUGUUGGUGCUUUCUUCUUACGCUUGUAGCCUACGGUCAUUCUGGAAGUUCUUUGGUUUUUCUUAACCCCUUUAUUUACAU